rnacentral:rRNA from 1 species
AUCUACAGGCUUAACACAUGCAAGUCGAGGGGCAGCAUGGUCUUAGCUUGCUAAGGCCGAUGGCGACCGGCGCACGGGUGAGUAACACGUAUCCAACCUGCCGUCUACUCUUGGACAGCCUUCUGAAAGGAAGAUUAAUACAAGAUGGCAUCAUGAGUCCGCAUGUUCACAUGAUUAAAGGUAUUCCGGUAGACGAUGGGGAUGCGUUCCAUUAGAUAGUAGGCGGGGUAACGGCCCACCUAGUCUUCGAUGGAUAGGGGUUCUGAGAGGAAGGUCCCCCACAUUGGAACUGAGACACGGUCCAAACUCCUACGGGAGGCAGCAGUGAGGAAUGUUGGUCAAUGGGCGAGAGCCUGAACCAGCCAAGUAGCGUGAAGGAUGACUGCCCUAUGGGUUGUAAACUUCUUUUAUAAAGGAAUAAAGUCGGGUAUGCAUACCCGUUUGCAUGUACUUUAUGAAUAAGGAUCGGCUAACUCCGUGCCAGCAGCCGCGGUAAUACGGAGGAUCCGAGCGUUAUCCGGAUUUAUUGGGUUUAAAGGGAGCGUAGAUGGAUGUUUAAGUCAGUUGUGAAAGUUUGCGGCUCAACCGUAAAAUUGCAGUUGAUACUGGAUAUCUUGAGUGCAGUUGAGGCAGGCGGAAUUCGUGGUGUAGCGGUGAAAUGCUUAGAUAUCACGAAGAACUCCGAUUGCGAAGGCAGCCUGCUAAGCUGCAACUGACAUUGAGGCUCGAAAGUGUGGGUAUCAAACAGGAUUAGAUACCCUGGUAGUCCACACGGUAAACGAUGAAUACUCGCUGUUUGCGAUAUACAGCAAGCGGCCAAGCGAAAGCGUUAAGUAUUCCACCUGGGGAGUACGCCGGCAACGGUGAAACUCAAAGGAAUUGACGGGGGCCCGCACAAGCGGAGGAACAUGUGGUUUAAUUCGAUGAUACGCGAGGAACCUUACCCGGGCUUAAAUUGCAGAUGAAUUACGGUGAAAGCCGUAAGCCGCAAGGCAUCUGUGAAGGUGCUGCAUGGUUGUCGUCAGCUCGUGCCGUGAGGUGUCGGCUUAAGUGCCAUAACGAGCGCAACCCUUGUUGUCAGUUACUAACAGGUCAUGCUGAGGACUCUGACAAGACUGCCAUCGUAAGAUGUGAGGAAGGUGGGGAUGACGUCAAAUCAGCACGGCCCUUACGUCCGGGGCUACACACGUGUUACAAUGGGGGGUACAGAGGGCCGCUACCACGCGAGUGGAUGCCAAUCCCCAAAACCUCUCUCAGUUCGGACUGGAGUCUGCAACCCGACUCCACGAAGCUGGAUUCGCUAGUAAUCGCGCAUCAGCCACGGCGCGGUGAAUACGUUCCCGGGCCUUGUACACACCGCCCGUCAAGCCAUGGGAGCCGGGGGUACCUGAAGUGCGUAACCGCGAGGAGCGCCCUAGGGUAAAACUGGUGACUGGGGCUA